rnacentral:siRNA from 1 species
AGAUCCGUUUCAGUCACUACAUCC